rnacentral:rRNA from 1 species
AUGAACGCUAGCUACAGGCUUAACACAUGCAAGUCGAGGGGCAUCAGGAAGAAAGCUUGCUUUCUUUGCUGGCGACCGGCGCACGGGUGAGUAACACGUAUCCAACCUGCCCUUUACUCGGGGAUAGCCUUUCGAAAGAAAGAUUAAUACCCGAUGGCAUAAUGAUUCCGCAUGGUUUCAUUAUUAAAGGAUUCCGGUAAAGGAUGGGGAUGCGUUCCAUUAGGUUGUUGGUGAGGUAACGGCUCACCAAGCCUUCGAUGGAUAGGGGUUCUGAGAGGAAGGUCCCCCACAUUGGAACUGAGACACGGUCCAAACUCCUACGGGAGGCAGCAGUGAGGAAUAUUGGUCAAUGGGCGCUAGCCUGAACCAGCCAAGUAGCGUGAAGGAUGAAGGCUCUAUGGGUCGUAAACUUCUUUUAUAUAAGAAUAAAGUGCAGUAUGUAUACUGUUUUGUAUGUAUUAUAUGAAUAAGGAUCGGCUAACUCCGUGCCAGCAGCCGCGGUAAUACGGAGGAUCCGAGCGUUAUCCGGAUUUAUUGGGUUUAAAGGGAGCGUAGGUGGACUGGUAAGUCAGUUGUGAAAGUUUGCGGCUCAACCGUAAAAUUGCAGUUGAUACUGUCAGUCUUGAGUACAGUAGAGGUGGGCGGAAUUCGUGGUGUAGCGGUGAAAUGCUUAGAUAUCACGAAGAACUCCGAUUGCGAAGGCAGCUCACUGGACUGCAACUGACACUGAUGCUCGAAAGUGUGGGUAUCAAACAGGAUUAGAUACCCUGGUAGUCCACACAGUAAACGAUGAAUACUCGCUGUUUGCGAUAUACAGUAAGCGGCCAAGCGAAAGCAUUAAGUAUUCCACCUGGGGAGUACGCCGGCAACGGUGAAACUCAAAGGAAUUGACGGGGGCCCGCACAAGCGGAGGAACAUGUGGUUUAAUUCGAUGAUACGCGAGGAACCUUACCCGGGCUUAAAUUGCAGUGGAAUGAUGUGGAAACAUGUCAGUGAGCAAUCACCGCUGUGAAGGUGCUGCAUGGUUGUCGUCAGCUCGUGCCGUGAGGUGUCGGCUUAAGUGCCAUAACGAGCGCAACCCUUAUCUUUAGUUACUAACAGGUUAUGCUGAGGACUCUAGAGAGACUGCCGUCGUAAGAUGUGAGGAAGGUGGGGAUGACGUCAAAUCAGCACGGCCCUUACGUCCGGGGCUACACACGUGUUACAAUGGGGGGUACAGAAGGCAGCUAGCGGGUGACCGUAUGCUAAUCCCAAAAGCCUCUCUCAGUUCGGAUCGAAGUCUGCAACCCGACUUCGUGAAGCUGGAUUCGCUAGUAAUCGCGCAUCAGCCACGGCGCGGUGAAUACGUUCCCGGGCCUUGUACACACCGCCCGUCAAGCCAUGGGAGCCGGGGGUACCUGAAGUACGUAACCGCAAGGAUCGUCCUAGGGUAAAACUGGUGACUGGGGCU